rnacentral:rRNA from 1 species
GACGAACGCUGGCGGCGUGCCUAAUACAUGCAAGUAGAACGCUGAAGGAAGGAGCUUGCUCUUUCUGGAUGAGUUGCGAACGGGUGAGUAACGCGUAGGUAACCUGCCUGGUAGCGGGGGAUAACUAUUGGAAACGAUAGCUAAUACCGCAUAAAAUUGAUUAUUGCAUGAUAGUCAAUUAAAAGGUGCAACUGCACCACUACCAGAUGGACCUGCGUUGUAUUAGCUAGUUGGUGGGGUAACGGCUCACCAAGGCGACGAUACAUAGCCGACCUGAGAGGGUGAUCGGCCACACUGGGACUGAGACACGGCCCAGACUCCUACGGGAGGCAGCAGUAGGGAAUCUUCGGCAAUGGACGGAAGUCUGACCGAGCAACGCCGCGGGAGUGAAGAAGGGUUUCGGAUCGUAAAGCUCGGUUGUAAGAGAAGAACGAGUGUGAGAGUGGAAAGUUCACACUGUGACGGUAUCUUACCAGAAAGGGACGGCUAACUACGUG